rnacentral:rRNA from 1 species
AUUUUACGGGCAGACGGUGGAUGCCUAGGCGCAGAGUGCCGAUGAAGGACGGUGCAGGCCACGAUAGGCCCUGGGUAGGCGCCAGCAGCCGAUGAUCCAGGGAUUUCCGAAUGGGGGAACCCGCGUGCGGUCAUGCGCACGCAUCCCGUAUGGGAGGGGCACCGGGGGAACUGAAACAUCUAAGUACCCCGAGGAGAAGAGAUCACCGAGAGACCGGUAGUAGUGGCGAGCGAACGCGGUCAAGUCCAAACCGAGCGACGCUUAGUGGGUUCGCGCCCUAUGCCCGCUUGGGGUUGUGCGGCUUGUUGGGGGGAUCCCGCGAAGGUUCCCGCCUGGUUGGUGUAUGUUGACGAGAACAGUCUGGAAAGGCUGGCCGAAGAGGGUGAAAGCCCCGUACUGGUAGUCGUACACACGGGUACAACAGGUUCGCGAGUACCACGGGGGAAGAGUAGCCCCGUGGGAAGCUGGGGCGACCACGCUCCAAGGCUAAGGUACGCUCUGCGACCGAUAGGGAACGAGUACCGUGAGGGAAAGGUGAAAAGCACCCCGGCGAGGGGAGUGAAAUAGUUCCUGAAACCGUCUGCCUACAGUCGGUACGAGGGCGGUGCCCGCAAGGGCUGCCUGAGUGCGUGCCUCCUGAAGAAUGAGCCGGCGAGUGGAUCGGCGUCGCCAAAGGCUAAGGACGGUGGACGUCUGGAGCCGUAGCGAAAGCGAGUGCGAAUAGCGCGACUAGGUGGCGUCGAUCCGACCCGAAACCGGGUGAGCUACCCAUGGGCAGUGUGAAGGUUCGGUAACACGAACUGGAGGCGCGGACCCACCAAUGUUGCAAAAUUGGGGGAUGACCUGUGGGUAGAGGAGAAAUUCCAAUCGAACCCGGAGAUAGCUGGUUCUCCCCGAAAUGGAUUUAGGUUCAGCCCGAUGAGUUGACACCCGUAGGAGGUAGGGAUGCUGGAUGUGUGCGGGCCCUUGGCGGGUACCAAAUGCAACCAAACCGCGAAUGCCUACGGGUGCGAGUCGGAGUGAGACGGUGGGUGCGAAGAUUCAUCGUCGAGAGGGAAACAGCCCAGACCGCCAGCUAAGGGCCCCAAGUGCAGGCUUUAGUGGUAAAGGAGGUCGGUGUGCAUAGACAACCAGGAGGUUGGCUUAGAAGCAGCCACCCUU